GUUGCGCGUAGGGUCGCGGGGUCCUGGGGUCCGCGGGGGUGGCCCCCUCCGGCUGCGGGCGCGCUCGCCUGCUCACCCCCCGCCCCCUCCACCGCCUUCUCCUUUCGCUCUGCGGUGGCAGCGACAGCGACUCAAGUCCAGUUUCCCAGUCCUGUAACCUCCAGGCGACCCUGCCGAGCAGCCGCGGAACCUACACUGCUUUUUAUAAAAAUAAAAGAUUCUGUCUAAUUGAAACAGAAUCUCUCCCUUCGUGGAGUUUACAUGUCAGAGUCUCUUGCAUUACCGUGGCGGAAUCUGUCCCUUGUUUUGCGGGGAAACAGCUGUAAAUGAAGACUGCUCUCGCCCCCUGCAGGUGACGAAGGAGCAUGGCUUUCUCUGGGAACCGAUGCUACUGGCAUUUUCCUUGGAGUUUUCCUGGCUCAGCUCCAGAACCACCCCCUCCAAGUUGUCUUCCUGGAUUUACUCAGCCCAAAGCCAUACUUCUCUUUCCUGGGCAGGCCAUUCGUGAAGUCCUACUUACACAAGGAACUCAACUGCCAAGUAUUGGAGACUUCAUUUGGAGGCGGCCCCUGGGGGAGGCACAGAUGCAAAGCACAUGUGGAAAAGCAAGCUAGGAAGGCAGCUGAGCCUCGGACGCGAAUGGACGACAACGGCAUCUUCAGAGCGGGCGCAGAACAUCUCUCCACUUGGAUCUUGCCAUCACUCCACGAACACCGGGACAGACAGCUUUCUCUUCCGUGCUCUUUGACUUCUUUAGCCAACGCUCAACAGGAUCGUCACAAGAAGUUGCUGUGCAUGGCGCCCAAGGUCACCCUGGUUGCUGACAAGCAACUAACAGAUGGGGAGAGAGGAAGAGUGGAGAAGGCCCGUGAGCUUCUGAGAUUGGCCUGAGUGUGGCACACGCCCCUUCCACCAACAUUCUGCUGAGGAUGAGGGCUAUGGAGAAGAGGACCUUCAAACUCUUGCUUCAGCACACAACCAGGCUAUUGUACUUCUCACCAUCUGUCGCCAUCUCUAAGCACUGAGCCCCACUGUGUCAGACAGUACUUCCCCAUCCCCUAAGCCCUCCCCACCCCCACCAAGGACACUGUUGUGUGAUCCCUGGGUAGCUUGGCUUUCAAGGGAAGGUAAGCCACAGAAGAGAAUGACCCCUUCUUGGAUUACUGUAUCUCCCACUCAUGGUUCCAAGUUACUGUCCUUGAACUUGAUAUUCGAGAAAACUAUAAGCCUCUACCAGGACAGCCGUUCCUCUCCACGCGUGGGUUGUUCUCUCUUAGCUUGGCUCACCGGAAAUGAAGAAAACAAGCUAUUUUUUUUUUAAAGUUACUGAGACUCGAUAUUAAAGA